rnacentral:lncRNA from 1 species
UCUUGCCUAAGUAGUUUGCAUAAAGUUCGUUCUUCCUCGGUGUCUUUUGGUCUCCCCCGAAACAGAGUUGGUUGGUCAAGUUGAUCUCUUGUUUGAAAUUCAAUCAAGGGCAUUAAAGUGUAAACCAGUUGGAAAAACAAAGAGCUUAGGGAAAUCAUUUGCUUAAACAACAACAAACAAGCACUGGUAAUCUUCUUAGAGAAAUUAAUGAAGGGAAAACCCCCUCAGCCUGGGUGGAUAAUGAUCCUUAGCUAUCAUGUAACAAGCCUAGAAGGUUUAGGGAGAAGGUGAAAAUUAAGCAAGCUGGAUUAAAGUGAACUUUCAGAGGAACAAAAAGAAAUUCGGGAUAAAGAUCAGUUCUCCCGAGUUGAGAUUGAAAAAGUAGUUCUGAACUGGAAGGAGCUUAAUCCUUUAUGUAAAUCUGGGGUAGAGGCCUUUCCUGGUCUUUUUUCCCUUGUUUUGCUGAGUCCUGAUGAACCCAAAUGCUGCCUGUUGGUGUUGAGAUAAGGAGAGCCACCCAUGCGGACCCAGGUGCUGUAGCCUCUCUUUUCUAAGACGGCACUCGACUGGGCAGUGAAGCACGGCAAUCUUGAGAUGGCAGAGAUGGUCGCCAAAGCAGGCGUCGAUGUCAAUGCUAAAUCGAGCCACUAUGAAGCAGCCAGUCUGGGGGAAGCAGCUGAUGUGUAAUUCCGUAGCAGCCUUUGUGCCAUUCUAUCUCAAACCUCAUCCUUGGUGGAAGCUGGUAAUGCCGAAUACAGGAGGAGCUCCCUCAGCUCUGCGCUGGAGCACAGCAGCUCCUCAAGGGCCAGCCUGCAGCAGAGGAGCCAAACCUUGGCCUUUCAGCACAUGGUCCCUGCAGCCUGUGUCCCGUUGAUGCCCCAGCAACCCAACAGCCCACAGUGAUCCAACAUCCUGCACUCCCAGUUCCUUUUCAUUCCACUGUGCAGCCGUAGGCAAGCCGUUGCUGGGCAUCUUCAUGACUAGAUGGUGUGACUCCACGCUGGCACAGCGCCCUCCAUUUCCCAUGGAAGGUGAGUUUCUAACUGUGCUUGUGCUUUAGGUGAGCCCUUUUAAGCAAACAUACAUGGCCUU